GACGAACGCUGGCGGCGUGCCUAAUACAUGCAAGUUGAGCGCUGAAGGUUGGUACUUGUACCAACUGGAUGAGCAGCGAACGGGUGAGUAACGCGUGGGGAAUCUGCCUUUGAGCGGGGGACAACAUUUGGAAACGAAUGCUAAUACCGCAUAAAAACUUUAAACACAAGUUUUAAGUUUGAAAGAUGCAAUUGCAUCACUCAAAGAUGAUCCCGCGUUGUAUUAGCUAGUUGGUGAGGUAAAGGCUCACCAAGGCGAUGAUACAUAGCCGACCUGAGAGGGUGAUCGGCCACAUUGGGACUGGGACACGGCCCAAACUCCUACGGGAGGCAGCAGUAGGGAAUCUUCGGCAAUGGACGAAAGUCUGACCGAGCAACGCCGCGUGAGUGAAGGAGGUUUUCGGAUCGUAAAACUCUGUUGGUAGAGAAGAACGUUGGUGAGAGUGGAAAGCUCAUCAAGUGACGGUAACUACCCAGAAAGGGACGGCUAACUACGUG
rnacentral:rRNA from 1 species